rnacentral:rRNA from 1 species
UACAGAGGGUGCGAGCGUUGUUCGGAAUUAUUGGGCGUAAAGGGCGCGUAGGCGGUGCGGUAAGUCACCUGUGAAAUCUCCUGGCUCAACUGGGAGCUUGCAGGCGAAACUGCCGUGCUGGAGUGUGGGAGAGGUGAGUGGAAUUCCUGGUGUAGCGGUGAAAUGCGUAGAUAUCAGGAGGAACACCUGUGGUGUAGACAGCUUACUGGACCAUUUCUGACGCUGAGACACGAAAGCGUGGGUAGCAAACAGG